CCGCUUGCAAGUAAACAGAUGGACCCACGAAGUCCGGUUGAGUAAGGGAUUCAAUUCUCUCGAGAGGCGAAGUUGGCUCUCAUGACCUCACGGUUGUGGGUGACAGCUUGCAGUCAAUUGAGGGAUGCAUUUCUCUUGUUCACGAUGGAGCUCUGACUGCUUAGUCUGAAACAUUAACUGCUUAGGGCAGCCGUUGUUUGUGGUUGAAUCUUCGGAUUCGUUUCACUUUCGAUGGUGAGUAAGUGAUGUGACGCUGAGCAGGUGAAUAUCUUACAUACUAUGUAAGUGUCAGAUUAUCGAUGUGACUUGUGUGUCAAGUGCUUGGUGAGGAGAACUUUCGUCUCUCGUAGAUGAAAACCUUUUCGCUAUAGGCACUUAAGUGCACUGCAGGAAGCAUCAAUGAUGAUCCAGAGUAAGUAGGUCGGUCAUCCAUCUGACCCGUCUUGAAACACGGACCAAGGAGCCCAACAAUUGCGCGAGUCGCUCAGUCUUGCAUAGGCUUGAGAGGCGAAAUAAACAUAACGGUAUGAUCCUGUCGCUCUUCAUCUCACGAUGUGGAGUACAGGCGCAAUGCCGACCUGCUGUAUUUGCCUUCAUUGACAGAUUAGCGGAGUCUGAGCGUAAUUGUUGGUACCCGAAAGAUGGUGAACUAUACUUGGGCAAGACGAAGCCAGAGGAAACUCUGGUGGAGGUCUGUAGCGAUUCUGACGUGCAAAUCGAUCGUCAGACCUGAGUAUAGGGGCGAAAGACUAAUCGAACCAUCUAGUAGCUGGUUCCUUCCGAAGUUUCCCUCAGGAUAGCUGGCACAAAGGAAGGUACUCUGUAGCACCCGGUAAAGCGAAUGAUUAGAGGUAUUGGGAUCGAAACGAUCUCAACCUAUUCUCAAACUUUAAAUGGGUGCGGAGCUUGACUUAUUUGGAGUAAAGUCUUGCUUUUGUAAGAGUUGUGCCAAGUGGGCCAUUUUUGGUAAGCAGAACUGGCGCUGUGGGAUGAACCAAACACUGAGUUAAAGUACCCAAUGCCGACGCUCAUGAGACCCCAUGAAAGGUGUUGGUUGCUAUAGACAGC
rnacentral:rRNA from 2 species